UACAGAGGUCCCAAGCGUUGUUCGGAUUCACUGGGCGUAAAGGGUGCGUAGGUGGCAAGGUAAGUUUGAUGUGAAAUCUUCGAGCUCAACUCGGAAACUGCAUUGAAUACUAUCUUGCUUGAGGAUUGGAGGGGAGGCUGGAAUUCUCGGUGUAGCAGUGAAAUGCGUAGAUAUCGUGAGGAAGACCAGUGGCGAAGGCGGGUUUCUGGAGAGUUCCUGACGCUGAGGCACGAAGGCCAGGGGAGCAAACGGG
rnacentral:rRNA from 1 species